rnacentral:misc_RNA from 1 species
GAAAUGCGAUACGUAGUGUGAAUUGCAGAAUUCAGUGAAUCAUCGAAUCUUUGAACGCACAUUGCGCCCUUUGGUAUUCCAAAGGGCAUGCCUGUUCGAGCGUCAUUUGUACCCUCAAGCUUUGCUUGGUGUUGGGCGUUUUUUGUCUUUGGUUGCCAAAGACUCGCCUUAAAAGGAUUGGCAGCCGGCCUACUGGUUUCGCAGCGCAGCACAUUUUUGCGCUUGCAAUCAGCAAAAGAGGACGGCAAUCCAUCAAGACCUCCUUCUCACGUUUGACCUCGGAUCAGGUAGGGAUACCCGCUGAACUUAAGC